CACAAAUCAUGGUCUUCUAUUCCUCCAAGUUGCUGACUUAAGAGACUAGAAUUUUCUCCAAAAAGAGAAUGUGGCAACCUGGAGUUCUGAAGCAGAAGUGUCCAAAGACAAAUGACUAUAGUUGAUGAACAACAUAAGCACUGCUAUGUCAUUGUAAAGAGAAGGAGCCCGGGAGCAACCCCAACUCUGUGUUACUUUCCAGCCAGGUGACUGGGACAAGCCUCUCUGAGACUCUGAGCCCCACUUUUUGCAUCUGCAAAAAGGCAGGCACUGCAUUGACCUCAUGGGACUGAUGAGAGCCUUACAAGAAGCAGCUCCUUAAGGCACUCAGCAAAGCGCCCAGCACUUAGCAGGCAUCAGAGCUGGAGAAGACCCUGAGGUUGGGAAAGAUUGAAUACAAAAGGAGAAGGGAGUGGCAGAGGAUGAGAUGGUUAGAUCGCAUCACUGACUCAAUGGACAUGAGUUUGAGCAAACUCCAGGAGAUGGUGAAGGACAGAGGAGCCUGCAGUCCAUGGGGUCGCAAAGAGUUGGACAUGACUGAGCAACCGAAUAACAAUGAAAGGAACU
ensembl:lncRNA